rnacentral:lncRNA from 1 species
AUGAACGUCAGGGAGUUGCUUUCCUGCCAAGUCUUAACUGAGGACUCAGUUUUCAUUUGGACAGGUGCAUUUCCACUGAAAAGGCUUUCCGAACCUGUGAGGAUACAGACUGUGGAACUUUUGAGCUUAGGAUCUGCAACAGAGUCAUGUCCCGCAGUCUUUGGAGUGCUCUGGUAAUUACAGAACACAAAACUUGCUGCUGGGUCUGCUUUAGGUUUUGAGGUGAGCAAGUACUAAUCAAACAGC